UACGAAGGGGGCUAGCGUUGCUCGGAAUCACUGGGCGUAAAGCGCACGUAGGCGGAUCUUUUAAGUCAGGGGUGAAAUCCUGGAGCUCAACUCCAGAACUGCCUUUGAUACUGGAGAGCUUGAGUCCGGGAGAGGUGAGUGGAACUCCGAGUGUAGAGGUGAAAUUCGUAGAUAUUCGGAAGAACACCAGUGGCGAAGGCGGCUCACUGGCCCGGUACUGACGCUGAUGUGCGAAAGCGUGGGGAGCAAACAGG
rnacentral:rRNA from 1 species